CAAGAAGUAAUUUAGUAGUAGAAUGCCCGCUUUGGGGGUGGGUAAUAAAAGUGCAAAUCUUUUCUUUUUGA
rnacentral:tRNA from 1 species